GAUGAACGCUGGCGGCGUGCCUAAUACAUGCAAGUCGAACGCAGAGGGAAAGUUCUUUUCCCCUUUGGAUGAGCUGCGGAAGGGUGAGUAAACCGGGGGACAACCGCCUUCAAGGCUGGGGCAACCUUUUGAAAAGAGAGCUAAAAACGCAUUAAAACUUUAUACACAAUGUUAAAGAUUGAAAGAUGCCUUUGCCUUACCCAAGGAUGAUACCGCGUUGUCUUAGUUAGUUGGUGGGGUAAAGGCCCUCCAAGGCAAUGUUGCAUAGCCGACUUGAGAGGCUGAUCGGCCACAUUGGGACUGAGACACGGCCCAAACCCCUACGGGGGGCGGCGGUAGGGAAUCUUCCACAAUGGGCGAAAGCCUGAUGGAGCAACGCCGCGUGUUUGAUGAAGGCUUUCGGGUCGUAAACCACUGUUGUAUGGGAAGAACAGCUAGAAUAGGAAAUGCUCAUAGAUUGACGGUACCAUACCAGAAAGGGACGGCUAAAUACGUG
rnacentral:rRNA from 1 species